rnacentral:lncRNA from 1 species
CUAAACUCUUCUUUCUCACCUGGCCAGUGCUCCAUGCUACAGCUGGAGAAGACAAGGCCCAGAAAGCAAGACCACGGGCAGGGGGCCUGUGACUUCAAGACCGUAGGGACUGUGUGUCUUCCAGAGCUGGGUCCUGGCACAGCACAGGGCUUAGAGAUGCUGUCUGGGGAGCCCUGCAGGCCUGCCCUUCCCCCACC